rnacentral:rRNA from 1 species
AGUGAACGCUGGCGGUAGGCCUAACACAUGCAAGUCGAACGGCAGCACAGUAAGCGCUUGCUCUUACGGGUGGCGAGUGGCGGACGGGUGAGGAAUACAUCGGAAUCUACUUUUUCGUGGGGGAUAACGUAGGGAAACUUACGCUAAUACCGCAUACGACCUACGGGUGAAAGCAGGGGAUCUUCGGACCUUGCGCGAUUGAAUGAGCCGAUGUCGGAUUAGCUAGUUGGCGGGGUAAAGGCCCACCAAGGCGACGAUACGUAGCUGAUCUGAGAGGAUGAUCAGCCACACUGGAACUGAGACACGGUCCAGACUCCUACGGGAGGCAGCAGUGGGGAAUAUUGGACAAUGGGCGCAAGCCUGAUCCAGCCAUACCGCGCGGGUGAAGAAGGCCUUCGGGUUGUAAAGCCCUUUUGUUGGGAAAGAAAAGCAGCAGGUUAAUACCCCGCUGUUCUGGCGGUACCCAAAGAAUAAGCACCGGCUAACUUCGUG